UGCUCUAAGAUUAUAACUUAAAGUAACACCUGCUCAAUGAUCUAAUUAAAUAGCCGCAGUCAACUGUGCAAAGGUAGCAUAAUAACUUGCUUCUUAAUUAGAAGAAAAAAUGAAUGGAAUAACACUCUAUAUCUAUCUAUAUAAAAUAAAUUAAAUUAUUAAAGAAGUAAAAAUACUUCUACUAAAUAACGGGACGACAAGACCCUAAUAAACUUUCUAUUUAGUUGGGGAAACAAAAUAAAAAAACUUUAAUUCAAUUCAUAAACAAUCUUUUAAUUAAAACUAGUUACUAUAGGGAUAACAGCGUUAUUUCUUUCAAGAGAACUUAUCUAAAAAGAAGAUUACGACCUCGAUGUUGAAUUAAUUUUCCUAAUUAAGUGCAACAACUAAAAUUAAGGUAGUCUGUUCGACUAUUAAAAAAU
rnacentral:rRNA from 1 species